rnacentral:ncRNA from 1 species
CCUGAAAAAUAUUUGUCGGUAAGUGUAACAGUAAAUAAGAUGUGUUUUCAUAGCAUAUGUAGACAUACAUGGCCGUUCUUAGUUUGAAGGUGAUUUGUCUGGUUAAUUCUGAUAACAAACGAGACGUUGAUCUGACGAAUAAUAGACUGGCCCUCUGUGCUCGUUUGAGGCUAUUGCUUUUGUAUGGAGUAGUGUGGUCAUGACCCAACAGGUGCGGUGCCGGCUUUCACUACUCAGAGGGACAAGUGGCACACGAAAUUGAACAAUAACAGAUCUCUGAUACCCUCAGAUAUCCUGG